UGCGCCUCCUUCAACGUCUCACUGGUUUGGAAAGUGAAAGUGUGCAGGACUCACAGUGUAAACCAAGUGGCUGUUGCAGGUAAAACUUUCUACAAAACGUCAUCAUGAGUUAUAUAUUAGACAGAUUCAGACAGGAGCUAGACAAGUUUACAAUCUCAGAUUACCAUGGACUGAGCAGCCCAGGUGUUACAUGCUACCUGAACAGCGUGCUUCAGGUGCUCUUCAUGACUGCGGACUACCGGGAGGCUGUGAUAAGCAGUAGAGAUUCAACAAGCUUUGACUGUUACGUGGGAAGACUGUUCACAGUUUUACAGCGGAUGAUGGCCAAAACACAUGAUGUCACGCACAAGCUGGGCAUCACAGACGGUAACGUUUUUUGCAGCAUUGUGUUGCUGCUUAUCUUAAAUUUGGUUCUUAUAUGUCAAACUUCUGCAGCAUCUUGAGACACACUGAUUUCACAAAGAUUUCUUUUCUUUUUUUGUCUUUUACUUUCAGUAUUCAAACAACAUGAUGCAGCAGAGUAUUUUGAGAAAAUGUUGAGUCUGAGUAGCCCAGAAGCUUCCAAGAUAUUCCAGGGAGAGCUGAACCACAUCACCACAUGCCUCAAGUGUAAAGAGCAUGAGGAAUCCAGGAGCUCUUUUUGGACUUUGCCACUGGCUAUGAACGUUUCCAGUGGUCAGGCUUACAGUGUGGUACUGUGAUUUCAUUCAUGUCUUUUAUUUAUUCAUUUAUUUAAUAAAGACAGGAAAUCAUGACUUUUUCAUAUUCACCAAAACACAGUCGGUUGGUUUGUUUUACAGGAGAAUGGGUUGCACUUGUUUGUUAGAGGAGAAAAAGUCAUUGGGGACAACAAGCUGUACUGCAACUUUUGCAAGAAAAAGCAGACCACAAACAUGAUUUGUGAGAUAAUGAAGCAUCCAGAGGUUCUGACCCUCCUGCUCAAGAGAUUCACUUUCAGCUUAAAGCAUAAUUGCUACGUCAAGCUUCACUGUAAGGUGGAUGUCCCCCGGACUGUGAACAUGAAGAGGUGCAGGUAUGACCUCUAUGCAUUAGUUAACCACCAUGGCCAUCUAAAAGGAGGUCAUUAUACCACUCAAGUCAAAUCCUUUGAGAAUGGGGAGUGGUAUGACUUCAGUGACAUAAAUGUCACAAAGAUCAGACCUGCAUUUGGGGCUGGAAAGAACCAUGUGAGGUCCAAUAGUGCAUAUCUUCUCAUGUACAAGAAAGUAAACAGACAUUGUGAAUGAAAACUUCAGCAUCCAGAGGGCUCACUCUUCCCACUCAAGCGAGGAAGCUGAAGGAAGACAAAGGAAGGCAGAGACGAGAUGCUGCUGAGAGUUAUUACUGAUAUUCCAGUGAAAGUGAAGACUUGGAGGACUUGACUGGUGAGAAAAGAACCAUAAUGAUAAGAGAAAACAUAUGAGCUGCUCCAAGAUACGAGAUGAACAAAUCAGAGAGCAGCAAGAGUGAGGCCACACCGGAGUGCUUCCUUCAAACAGACACUGUAGCUAAUAGAGGCAGGUUAACACAUCAUUGUUGCAAAAAUCAAAGUAAUAAUGGUGAAAACCCUACAAGAGAUGGAAAAACUAUGUUCGUGAGAUGAAAAAAGAUAAAUGCAUCAGUCAACCCUGCAGAAAGAUAAGCACAAAAGAAGAAAAAUGCAGCAUUUAUUCAUUGUUUAGCAAAAUAGAUGGCACACAAAUAUGAAAAAAGGGAGAAAAGAGGCAGAUAUCUGUCAUAAAAGUUAAAAAAGUGUCAAGAAAUGGUUAUCUGUUUGUGUUAAAAUGGCAAGAAAAAGAUGUUUUUAUUGUACCUAAAUUGUAAUUGUCAUUUAGAUUUACACUACCCCCCCUUCCAAGUUUUUUAUGAAAAUGUAUAUGAAAUCUCAUUA